rnacentral:rRNA from 1 species
GACGAACGCUGGCGGCGUGCUUAACACAUGCAAGUCGAACGGAAAGGCCCUGCUUUUGUGGGGUGCUCGAGUGGCGAACGGAUGAGUAACACGUGAGUAACCUGCCCUUGACUUUGGGAUAACUUCAGGAAACUGGGGCUAAUACCGGAUAGGAGCUCCUGCUGCAUGGUGGGGGUUGGAAAGUUUCGGCGGUUGGGGAUGGACUCGCGGCUUAUCAGCUUGUUGGUGGGGUAGUGGCUUACCAAGGCUUUGACGGGUAGCCGGCCUGAGAGGGUGACCGGCCACAUUGGGACUGAGAUACGGACCAGACUCCUACGGGAGGCAGCAGUGGGGAAUAUUGCACAAUGGGCGGAAGCCUGAUGCAGCAACGCCGCGUGCGGGAUGACGGCCUUCGGGUUGUAAACCGCUUUCGCCUGUGACGAAGCGUGAGUGACGGUAAUGGGUAAAGAAGCACCGGCUAACUACGUG